rnacentral:rRNA from 1 species
GACGAACGCUGGCGGCGUGCUUAACACAUGCAAGUCGAACGGAAAGGGCCUGCUUUUGUGGGGUGCUCGAGUGGCGAACGGGUGAGUAACACGUGAGUAACCUGCCCUUGACUUUGGGAUAACUUCAGGUAACUGGGGCUAAUACCGGAUAGGAGCUCCUACUGCAUGGUGGGGGUUGGAAAGUUUCGGCGGUUGGGGAUGGACUCGCGGCUUAUCAGCUUGUUGGUGGGGUAGUGGCUUACCAAGGCUUUGACGGGUAGCCGGCCUGAGCGGGUGACCGGCCACACUGGGACUGAGGGAAGGCCCAGAUUCCGACGGGAGGAAGCAGUGGGGAAUAUUGCACAAUGGGCGGAAGCCGGAUGCAGCAACGCCGCGUGUGGGAUGACGGCCUUCGGGUUGUAAACCGCUUUCGCCUGUGACGAAGCGUGAGUGACGGUAAUGGGUAAAGAAGCACCGGCUAACUACGUG